rnacentral:piRNA from 1 species
UCUGUCCCUCUGCAAACAGCAGACU